GAGGGUAUAGCUCAAGUGGCAGAGCACUCGCUUAGCAUACACAAGGUCCUGGGUUCAAUCCCCAGUACUUCCU
rnacentral:tRNA from 1 species